GAACAAAGAUGGCGGCCGGAAGUGACACGGUUUUGUUUAUUGUGUCGGAAGCUUGAAAAUGAUGAACAUGUAAUGGAAAUAUGAAGUAGUGACAGUAAGUCUAAAACAGAUAAAUGACAAAAACAAAACAAAAAGAUGUCCAUGUUUGCGUCGCAGGUCGCUUGUGCUAGCUGCGGCCUGCCGGCUGAGCUGAGGGAGAGGCUCCGGUACCGGUACCGGAGAAACCGUUAGAUGUUCCCCUCGGAGGCCUGUGUGCUCCAGCCGGACGGACAGAGCUUCAGUGCACAGGACUGUGAUUCUGACUUGGCGUUGCACCGAGCUGCAGGCCUGGACUUGAAUCACCGAGUCGGACCAGAGGAACAAAGACUCUCCUCUCAGCGAGCAUGGUCGGUUUAAUGCCGCUUGAUCAGAAGCUGACUGCAGACAUCUAACCUGGAGGACAAUCUACAUAUAAAGUUCGCUGAAUCUCUUUGGGUUUUGGACUGUUGGUCGGACAAAACAAGACCUCAGAAGACGUCAGCUUGGACUUUACAGCAGCAGAGAGCAGCUGCUGAACGUAGCGGAGCAUCUAGCUGCUAAAGAGCCAGAUGUUUCCCUCAGCAG